ACACACACACACAUGCACGCAUGCACACACACACACACAGAAGGUGAACACACAGGAUGAGGCCCUGAAAACUCAUUUCACCCGUGUACCUCACCCAAAAAUUCCCCUUUGUACUCCUAUCUUUAUCUCUAACUGACAGCAUGAAGCCCUGACUGCCGAAACCCUCCAGCCCCAGCUCCAGCCCCUCAGGAGGGGACUGCGUGGGAGGAAUGACUCCAGCAAGCCGGCAGCUGACCCGUCUCCUGCCUGCACGCCUCCCGCUGUGGUCCACUGCCGGUGGUCUUCAGCUCUCUCCUCGUCCCACCCCCAUGGUCUGCUGACAGCCCAGCUCAGUGCAUCCCUGCCAUCUCUGCUCUACCGCUGGUCCUCCCAACAACCAACUUACAGGGUUUCACUCCCGUCACCCAGACUGGAGUACAAUGGUGCGAUCUCAGCUCACUGCAACCUCUGCCUCCUGGGCUUAAGCGAUUCUCCUGCCUUGGCCUCCCAAGUAGCUGGGAUUACAGGUGCCUGCCACCACUCCUGGCUAAUUUUUGUAUUUUUUGUAAAGGCGGAGUUUCUCCAUGUUGCCCAGGCUAGUCUCAAACUCCUGAGCUCAAGCAAUCCACCCGCCUCGGCCUCCCAAAUAAGUGGAAUUAUAGGUGUGAGCCACCACGCCGGCCCUGAUGUAUCAAUAUUAAAACAUUUUCUUCAGCCUACAA
ensembl:lncRNA novel transcript